CCAUGUUAUUUCUGUCCUCGGAAGAUAUUCAAGAGUACCGUAGAAAGCGUUUUGUUUAAUCAUAGUAUAGGGUAUUAAUUAAAGCCUCGAGAUUGUAAUAAGUUAGAUAAUUGAAGUUUUGUGUAUGAUGGGGGGGGAAAAACCGUCGAGGGAAGUUUUGUGUAUGAUAGGGGGAAAAUACCGUCGAAGGAAAUAAAAAAGUAGGGGUAACUAUGUAUAACUGGUCUGGGACAGGUCGGAAUUCACAACCGAAGGACAGGCCACUGGACUAGAUCGUUCCAAGAUUCCGUUUAAAGGGUUUUUUGGGGUCUUGCUUUAUCCUAGGAAGACGGCGGUGAAGGGGAAUCGUGGUGGUGGUGGUUGCGGUUCUAGGGUUUGAUUGCAUAUACGUGUAUUUUGAGGGAUCUUUGAGUACUGGCAACACGUGUUUCGUAGUUAGAAUAAUUUAUACAUGUAUACUAAGAACUGGCGGAAGCCAUAUACAGUAGUACUUUCUAGACUUUCACUUUGUAUGAAAAGAUUAAUUUGUUCAUGUUGAUAAGUGAAACUUUUCUAGUGUAUCAGUUCUAUUAGUUUACAGUAUAAUUUAUGGAAAGCUUCAUUAGCUUUCAUAUGGUCGGUGCCCUGGUGAAACUUAGACUUCCUUCAAUUUCUACUCACACACACACACCUAUACAAUAUAUACGUAAAUGCUUUUCUCCAGUCCUGGAAGAUGGUUUUCAUUAAUAGGUAAUAAACACACACACACGCACACACACUGCAAUAUAUAAAAGCUUUUCUCCAGUCUUGGAAGCUGGUUUUCAUGAAUAGGUAAUAAAUUACACAAGUUAUUGCACGUUUGGAAAGGAAGUACAAGCUGCAAUUUUGUAUGAUGGGUGUCUUCUAUGAAUGACUUUACUGAAAUGAUUGCUUGGAGUUUCCUUUCAGGGUUGGAAUGGAGUCGAGGGAUCUUCAUCAAAUGUUUUUAAUUUGAAUUGUUCUUUUGAGGUGAAGAGAAAGAGAAAACAUUACCAGAGAUGAAGAUAAUCAAGGGAAGGGAAUAAGACAAUCAUGAAUAACCAAAAUCCACUUGUAAAAUAAAUGCAAAAAGUAAGUGCAAAUAUUUCAUUCAAGAGGGAGGCCUCAAGAUAUUCGUCCGAUCCUUUGGCUAAUUCUAUUGGCUCUUUAAGAAGACUGGCAAAAAUGUCUCUCACGGCAGUCAUCACUAGCUGGAAGUUGUUGUAGGGGAAGGUUGGCAUGGCAUUUGGGUUACAGCUGUGGUUGCAUGAACUCUGCAGUGGAUAUAGUCCAGAUCCUUCAUUGUUGAGAAAUCCUCCAGCUUCUUCCAGGUUAUCACAGUUACGAACCCACCGACUUAAUGGACUGGUACCGAUGCCUUGACCAUUGGUGCCAACAAGAGCCACCAAGGACCGGAAGCCUUCAGGUGUUAACCACUGAAGGAAAAGAAGAACAAUGGUAAAAUAUUAGCCUUGACAUCUAAUCUUUGCCUAUAACACAAUGAUGUAUUAACAGGUUAAUUCAUGUAUGAAUAACACAUCUAUGGUCAUAUAAUUUAAUAAAAUACAUUGCUAAAAUUC